UCACAGCAGGCCCCAGUGACCCCGGCCCUGCGUCACAUGUCCCCCUGGCCACGUGGAGAUGGACUUCGAGGGUGCCGGCUGCCACCAGGCCUCAGUCUCUGCCGGGCACCUCCCUGACCCCACUCUUCUUCAGCCACACACACGUGUGCCCACGCACACGCACAUGCACUUCUCAGGAUAUCCCCUCCCCCUGGUCUGUCACGUAAGAGGACUGGCUACUGCUCGGCCUUCAGAUACAGAACGUAUCUGGGCCCCUUUGCCCUCCUGGCUAAUCCCCUAUCCGAAGUCCGACGGCCAGAGCCCUGGGCACCAAGGACGGCUGAGAGCCCCACACUCUUCCUGGUUUCAUGCGAUCUGGAUAUUCCCAAGAGCGUCCGACAGAAGUAGAGCUCAUAGAGAUGGAGGGCAUCUCCCUGGUUCCUCAUCAGUAAACGAAUCUGUUCCCUUCACAUCUGGGACGCAGGGCCUUUGAUACCAGCAUUCAUGGGAAGGAGGGAAGAAUAAUUAACAGAUUAAUUAAUUAUCCUUUAUUUCCACUUGAAACAAAUAAGGUAGGUUUUUUUUUUUUUAAGCCAAACAGGUUACACUCGAAUAAAAGGCCGUUAGUGACCA
rnacentral:lncRNA from 1 species